rnacentral:rRNA from 1 species
GACGAACGCUGGCGGCGUGCUUAACACAUGCAAGUCGAACGGAAAGGCCCUGCUUUUGUGGGGUGCUCGAGUGGCGAACGGGUGAGUAACACGUGAGUAACCUGCCCUUGACUUUGGGAUAACUUCAGGAAACUGGGGCUAAUACCGGAUAGGAGCUCCUGCUGCAUGGUGGGGGUUGGAAAGUUUCGGCGGUUGGGGAUGGACUCGCGGCUUAUCAGCUUGUUGGUGGGGUAGUGGCUUACCAAGGCUUUGCCGGGUAGCCGGCCUGAGAGGGUGACCGGCCACAUUGGGACUGAGAUACGGCCCAGACUCCUACGGGAGGCAGCAGUGGGGAAUAUUGCACAAUGGGCGGAAGCCUGAUGCAGCAACGCCGCGUGCGGGAUGACGGCCUGCGGGUUGUAAACCGCUUUCGCCUGUGACGAAGCGUGAGUGACGGUAAUGAGUAAAGAAGCACCGGCUAACUACGUG